rnacentral:lncRNA from 1 species
GGCCGAGCUGGUGGACACGCCGGGGCAGGACCACGUGUUCCAUCUCCUGCAACCGGGGACUGAGGCGGCCGCCGGGAUGUUGGACCGCGUCGCGGAUUUCAUUUCUCGUGCUUGACCUCACCUGCUCCCCGUUGAAGUGGAAUUGUGGUCGGUUCCUGUCGUCGUGCGUCAGGGCGAGUAAUAAAUGGGCAGCAAUCUCCGCCGGGCGUCAGUCCAACUAUUGGUGGACUGGUCGAGCUCGAGCCGUAGAUUUGCCUCAUGAGCCAUGAAAUCCCGUUGUUUCCAACCUCCUAUCUUCACGGGAAAGGGAAAAGGCCCGCCUAGCACAAGCCGACGUCUCAACACGCCCCGACCGCCUCGCCUCGCCUCCUCAUCGCUGGUCACCCUCACCGUCGAUCGUCGCCUUCGUCGCCCUCACCUAUGUCGCCUUCGUGCGUUUCUAACCUCUGUGGAUGCAGCAACGUGCUUUCAUGGUUGCAACCCUUGUAAAAAACAAUACGGUUGGAACAAAACAGAACGAUAAAUGUAGCAAAUUUGUAUAAUGGUUUUAAUAUUUUUCCAUCAUGGUUGCAACUN